rnacentral:rRNA from 1 species
UACGAAGGGGGCUAGCGUUGCUCGGAAUCACUGGGCGUAAAGGGUGCGUAGGCGGGCCUUUAAGGCAGGGGUGAAAUCCUGGAGCUCAACUCCAGAACUGCCUUUGAUACUGAGGAUCUUGAGUAUGGGAGAGGUGAGUGGAACUGCGAGUGUAGAGGUGAAAUUCGUAGAUAUUCGCAAGAACACCAGUGGCGAAGGCGGCUCACUGGCCCAUUACUGACGCUGAGGCACGAAAGCGUGGGGAGCAAACAGG